rnacentral:rRNA from 1 species
UGAACGCUAGCUACAGGCUUAACACAUGCAAGUCGAGGGGCAUCAGGAAGAAAGCUUGCUUUCUUUGCUGGCGACCGGCGCACGGGUGAGUAACACGUAUCCAACCUGCCCUUUACUCGGGGAUAGCCUUUCGAAAGAAAGAUUAAUACCCGAUAGCAUAAUGAUUCCGCAUGGUUUCAUUAUUAAAGGAUUCCGGUAAAGGAUGGGGAUGCGUUCCAUUAGGUUGUUGGUGAGGUAACGGCCCACCAAGCCUUCGAUGGAUAGGGGUUCUGAGAGGAAGGUCCCCCACAUUGGAACUGAGACACGGUCCAAACUCCUACGGGAGGCAGCAGUGAGGAAUAUUGGUCAAUGGGCGCUAGCCUGAACCAGCCAAGUAGCGUGAAGGAUGAAGGCUCUAUGGGUCGUAAACUUCUUUUAUAUAAGAAUAAAGUGCAGUAUGUAUACUGUUUUGUAUGUAUUAUAUGAAUAAGGAUCGGCUAACUCCGUGCCAGCAGCCGCGGUAAUACGGAGGAUCCGAGCGUUAUCCGGAUUUAUUGGGUUUAAAGGGAGCGUAGGUGGACUGGUAAGUCAGUUGUGAAAGUUUGCGGCUCAACCGUAAAAUUGCAGUUGAUACUGUCAGUCUUGAGUACAGUAGAGGUGGGCGGAAUUCGUGGUGUAGCGGUGAAAUGCUUAGAUAUCACGAAGAACUCCGAUUGCGAAGGCAGCUCACUGGACUGCAACUGACACUGAUGCUCGAAAGUGUGGGCAUCAAACAGGAUUAGAUACCCUGGUAGUCCACACAGUAAACGAUGAAUACUCGCUGUUUGCGAUAUACAGUAAGCGGCCAAGCGAAAGCAUUAAGUAUUCCACCUGGGGAGUACGCCGGCAACGGUGAAACUCAAAGGAAUUGACGGGGGCCCGCACAAGCGGAGGAACAUGUGGUUUAAUUCGAUGAUACGCGAGGAACCUUACCCGGGCUUAAAUUGCAGUGGAAUGAUGUGGAAACAUGUCAGUGAGCAAUCACCGCUGUGAAGGUGCUGCAUGGUUGUCGUCAGCUCGUGCCGUGAGGUGUCGGCUUAAGUGCCAUAACGAGCGCAACCCUUAUCUUUAGUUACUAACAGGUCAUGCUGAGGACUCUGGAGAGACUGCCGUCGUAAGAUGUGAGGAAGGUGGGGAUGACGUCAAAUCAGCACGGCCCUUACGUCCGGGGCUACACACGUGUUACAAUGGGGGGUACAGAAGGCAGCUAGCGGGUGACCGUAUGCUAAUCCCAAAAUCCUCUCUCAGUUCGGAUCGAAGUCUGCAACCCGACUUCGUGAAGCUGGAUUCGCUAGUAAUCGCGCAUCAGCCACGGCGCGGUGAAUACGUUCCCGGGCCUUGUACACACCGCCCGUCAAGCCAUGGGAGCCGGGGGUACCUGAAGUACGUAACCGCAAGGAUCGUCCUAGGGUAAAACUGGUGACUGGG